GCCUGGAUGGCUCAGUAGGUUGAGCGUCUGACUUCGGCUCAGGUCAUGAUCUCACAGUCUGUGAGUUCGAGCCCCGCAUCAGGUU
rnacentral:tRNA from 1 species